GAUAUUCUCAUAUUUCAACACAUCUGCGUCUCUUCCUCACACUCUCUCUCCGCUCCCUGCCUCCUCACACACGCAUGCGUCAAUCGGCAGCUUGUAACAAGAAGAUUUCCAUCAUAUUUUUUCUUUACAAACCCUGAAAUCAUCGUUUAAAAAAAUUCCCCUUUUCGGGGAAAAAAAACCCUCCUCACCCCGACCUAGAGAACAAUGUCGCCCACAGCGAGGACGCCCCCCGACUCUUUUUUUUUUUUCUCAGUACAAGCGCCGAUCGGAAAAAGCAAAAAGAAAAAGCUUCUCAAAUCCUCCCAAUCGGCGGGCUGUGAUGUUCAUCUGCAACCACGAGCCAGGGAAACUUCAACAGGGACCUUGAGGGUACCCUUGACUUCCUGAUGUCCAACAAUCCACUACCUGGAGCAGUCAUCUCUAGGAUGACUAACAGUGCCUCCGCUGAGACUGGGACCUGAACUUCCAGAUGCGGUGCAAAGCUCCCACGCGUCAGACCUCUGCAUCCUGAAUUAUGAAGCGGGGGAGAAAACCUUUUCGGUGCACAAACAGCUGCUUGUGAAAUCUGAGCUGGGCUGUAGGUAUUGUAAAAUCAAAAACAGCGACAACUCGGACGUAGCAUAAUGGAAAAAAAAAAAAAAAAAAAAGAGACAGUUACGUAAUGUAAAAGCUUUUGAAGCCAGACAGACUGACGAGAGAGAAGAAAAAAUACAAUUCUACAAAUCUGUAUCAGUGAAUGAUUAAUUAAUUUUUGUUGAAUGAUCUGUUCUAGCCCUGUGAGAUAUCAGUUUCCAUUUCUUUUACACUUUUACAGAAGAUCUCCAGAGACUGCUAGUUCAAAAGACGGUUCAAUUUAGAGUUCCCACUGGAAAUGGUUUCAGAAAGUCUUUGCCAUACGUUGGGCUUUGAUGUGUUUUAAAUGUCGUACUCUAACUGUUCAGACGUGGGGAAAAUAAAUUCUGCUAAUUUUU